UAGCCAGUUUCUGAUUUUCCGAUGGCAGU
rnacentral:sRNA from 1 species